GGGAGCGUAACUCAACUGGCAGAGUGCCUGUAUCAUAAGCAGGAAGUUGGAGGUUCGAGUCCUCCCGUUCUCA
rnacentral:tRNA from 1 species